CCUACGGGCGGCAGCAGUGGGGAAUCUUCCGCAAUGGACGAAAGUCUGACGGAGCAACGCCGCGUGUACGAUGAAGGUCUUCGGAUUGUAAGGUACUGUCUUCAGGGACGAACGGUAGGUGUGUGAAUAAUGCAUCUACAUGACGGUACCUGAGGAGGAAGCCCCGGCUAACUACGUGCCAGCAGCCGCGGUAAUACGUAGGGGGCAAGCGUUGUCCGGAAUCAUUGGGCGUAAAGGGCGCGUAGGCGGAUAAUUAAGUCUGGUGUGAAAGACCAGGGCUCAACCCUGGGGUUGCAUCGGAAACUGGUUAUCUUGAGGACAGGAGAGGAAAGUGGAAUUCCACGUGUAGCGGUGAAAUGCGUAGAUAUGUGGAGGAACACCAGUGGCGAAGGCGACUUUCUGGACUGUAACUGACGCUGAGGCGCGAAAGCGUGGGGAGCGAACAGGAUUAGAUACCCUUGUAGUC
rnacentral:rRNA from 1 species